UGCAGGUCUCCGUCUCGCCUGCUUUCCUUUUGGAAUUCCAGUGUGUUCGAGAGAUUUCUAAGUUACGUGGCCGACGCAUUCUUAGAACCUUUUGUUAUUGAACGGAAAACGGGAAAAGAAAAAUGUCACCGUCUCUUCAGUCCCCUUCAGCCACACCCGUUCAGCUUUCGCCUUCAUUGUUGCAAGCUUAUGCCGCGACCUCACCGAGGAAAAGAUCAAUGUUUCUUCCAUCUUCUUUGGUAACAAUCUAUCACAAACUCACAAAAUCAAUACACAUUAUAUGGAUGCAUCUAGAGCAGCUUUGGAAUAUGGGAUUCUUUAAAUAUAAAUCGAAAUGUAAAACCUAUAUGAUUGAUUCCUGUUUGGAAUGGACUUUGUGAUUUCAGUUUUUAUCAAAAACUAGCAUUAUACGUUA